rnacentral:rRNA from 1 species
GACGAACGCUGGCGGCGUGCUUAAAACAUGCAAGUCGAGCGGAGAGGCGAACGGGUGAGUAACGCGUGAGUAACUGCCCCCCCCUCUGGGAUAACAGUUGGAAACGGCUGCUAAUACCGGAUAGUGGGGGAUGACUCGCGUCCUAUUCGCUUGUUGGUGGGGUAGGGGCAGACCACGGGGACGACGGGUGGCCGGCCUGAGAGCGCGACCGGCCACAUUGGGCUGAGAUACGGCCCAAACUGCUACGGGAAGCAGCAGUAGGGAAUAUUGCGCAAUGGGGGAAACCCUGAUGCAGCAACGCACGAGCGGGAUGACGGCCUUCGGGUUGAAAACCGCUUUCAGCCAUGACGCGGUAGUGGCAGAGGAAGCACCGGCUAACUACGUGCCAGCAGCCGCGGUAAUUC